AUUCAGAUGCUGAAUUUAACUGUUCAACUGCUGAACCACUCGACAGACAUGAACGAAAACUUAAUUCUGACAGAG
rnacentral:ncRNA from 13 species